rnacentral:tRNA from 1 species
GCGGGCGAGCUGCGGCAGCGGCCCGGACUCGAAACCCGAGACCAGGGGGUUCGACUCCUCCCGCCCGUGC